rnacentral:lncRNA from 1 species
UCGUCGAACCCCGUCUUGCCGGCGUCCCUCAGCAUCCGCACGUACGCGUAGAAGUAGUCGGCGUAGGCGAUCGUGGCGCUCGGGUAGGACCGGCGCAGCUCACGGAUCUCCUGCUGCAGCAGCACGUUGUGCAUCUGGGCGAACAGGUUGAGCGACAUGAGGCAGCCGUUGGCGUCGUAGGCCGCCGGGUCCGUCUCGUUCACGGCGGACAUGUAGCUCGGCACGCAUCCCAGCGGGAAGUUUCCCGGGAUCACCAGCCGCGUCGCACCCAUGUCGAGGAGCUCCCUGGCCGCGUCCGUGACGGACCGCACCACGUCCGGGACGAGCGCCAUCGCCUCGACCACGCCGGUCGCCAUGCGUCCGAAGUUGUAGAGGUUGCGCUCGCCAUUGCCCGCUGGUUUGUUCUCCGAGAAGGCGUAGUUGUAAUCGUUGCCGCCGAUCUCCCCCACCAUGACCAGCGAGUGGGACAGCUUCUCGCGGAUCUCCUGCGGGGAACGGGUGUUGGCGCUCAUGAAGUCCUUGAACUGCUGCAGCUGGACGGCCAGGGAGGUGUUGGUGUGGGGAACAGCGACCCCUCUCCUCGCGAGCGCCGCCGCGUCGAGGGCGGUGGCACCGGCGACGGCGAAGUUCACGCCGUGGGUGAAGUCGGCGCCCUUGUCGAGGUACGGGUUGAGCAGCGGCAGGCCGAGGUCCUUGGCGAGGAAGUCUAUCAUGAGGUACCCGUCGGAGCACCGGCCCGUGGCGCCGCCGAUGGCGGAGCCGUAGGGAGGACCCAUGCUGUGUCGCAGCAUGCCGGUGGCGCCUUCGCGGAGCAGGUUCCCGGUGUCGGACAGGGAGUCGCCGAAGUUGUAGAUGGCCGUGACGCCGUCCGCCGCCGCCGCCUUCUCUUUGGCUGACAGCUUGUUGGGUGCCUGUUGCGGCGCUGGCCUUGCGUGGCACGGGCCGACGACGAGGAGCAGCGCCAUGAACGCGACGAGCAGGGUGCGAGCCAUGGUUGCCAUGGGGCGCUAAGCACGUUGGUCUUUCGCUUCGGUGUGGAGAGGUUUGAGGCCAGGCAGGUUCCUUUUAUUGGGCGCGAUGGGAUCAUGGGAGCCGCUUCGCCUAGCCGAUCGGACUAGGAAACGCGAGCGUCGUCCGAGUCGGAGACCGAUCAGCAAGCGGAGUUCACCGCGCGUGGACCGCGUCGCCGUCAUCUCCGGACGUCUUGGCGCACGAAUCUCCAGGUGUAGUGAUCACCGGCGGCACCGCUUGACGGACGGUGCCUGUGCGAGUGUUUGAUGCAUACUGCAUACCCUGGCCGAGCCCAAAAUCCGUGCGCUGACGUAGUUCCGGUAUCUGCGGAUAAGAUUAUCUGCCAUUGUUUAUAGUUGGAGGAUUGGAGCUCUCUGCACAUUUCUGAUCCUUGCAUUAGUGUUCGUCUGCAAUUUUCGAAGCUGCAAUCAAUCAUAGAUAAAGAUCCCGCGACUUCAUCGAUCACAGUGCAACUACUUGCUAUUAAGCGGAAACAUGCACGUUCGCUUCAUCUUAUCAGUCAGUUUAUCAACCACCGAAUAGUAUUUUUCUCUCACAACAAAUCAGCCGUUUCAGCUUUUCAGCCGAUUUAUAAAUCCAGCCGCACAGGCUAAUUAGCUUUUAGCUUUUAGCACAAUAUUAUUUCCACCGGUAUACCCUGAUGACAUGAUCUCAAGAGGCUUCUUCUAUAGUUCUAUUCGGCAUAUGCUUCAUCGGGGGUGCUGCCGCAGACCUGCGGUCACCCCCUAUUUCUAAUUUAUUUCUCAAUAAAUAGAUGUACAGGCUACAAAAAGUGUAGGGAUGAUGUGCUCUACGUGUACGUACACUGUAUGCUUCGGUUGCUGCAUGAAUUGCAUGUCUCACUUUACAAAACAAACUACAGAGGCUAGGCUAGAGCCCUACUCCUCGGCAGGAGGGUCCACCCACCGGCCGUUGUCCUUGAUCAGCUGGAUCAAGGCGUCGGUGGCGCCUUCCAUGGCGAUGCCACGUUGCACGACGGUCUGCAGAGAGAAAGAUGCACAGUCCGUAUUAGCCGGAGAAGUAAACCAGAAGCUUCAAGACUCAUGACUGCAGGUGGUGAACAUUUUUCGUGCUAUCAAAAGUUCACAGUACUAGACGGUGUUUCUUGAUACCACAAAUCCACAGCUAUUGCUCAACGACGUAUGUAGCAAAAGUUUCCAUUUCGUAUAUACGAUGAUUGUGGCACCCAAGCACUGGAUGGUUGGUUACCUUGCCAACGUAAAGAUCGAUCUUUCCAGGAGCACCUCCGACGUAUCCAAAAUCAGCAUCGGCCAUCUCUCCUGGCCCAUUGACAAUGCAACCCAUGAUAGCGAUCUGCCAGGCAAAUACGUAUACCGUUGAUCAGUAUAAUUGAUUCUUCCUCCGUUUCAAAUUAUAGAUCAUUUUGGUUAAAUUGUAGGUCAUUUUGGAUUUUCUAAGUUUAUAGAUACUCCAUUAUUAUGCAUCUAGAUAUACACUAUACGUGUUAGCAAAGACUAUAUAUAAAAAAGCUAAAACGACCUACAAUUUGGAACGGAGGGAGUAGUAAAGAAGGAAAUACAUAUGCAGUUGAUCAGGCAUAUCAGCAUCAUGAGAGCUUACCGAGACGCCUGGCAGAUGAGAGGUCUUUUCUCUAAUCUGAGCACUGAUUUCCUGAAGGUCGAAGAGUGUUCGCCCACACGAAGGACAAGACACGUAUUCCUGCAACAUUCAUUAGUAUUAAAAAAUCAUUUUGACAAAAUCUAAUGAAACAUCAACAGUUGUUUUUUAGUAUGGCCGAUUUUGAAGUUUUUUUCCUGUAUGUUGUAGGGAGAGUGCUGUGGCUUAAUCACUACAAGUCUCCAGAGGUAGCCAUGCUAUUUUAAACAAAAAUACAUCAACGUACAGUUUUUGUGUUGCGCAUUCUGCAACCCUGAAGUAAGUUGAAAGAUGUGUCCCUCAGGAACUCAAAUUCCUGGUCAGCAGCUUCAAGAAGUACACCAUCACCAAGACCAUCGACUAGGAGAGCACCAACAUUGGCCCCGGCACCAAUGACAAGAGCAUCUCUGCAGUUAAUUGAAUUAGAAUAAGCACAAGAAAACCAGGUCUCAACAAUUCAAAGGGGUUCGAAAAUAGGAAUGUUGACAAUCACCUGUCAAUGGUUUUGGGGAAAUCUAUGUGAUGGAUUACAGGAAAGUUCAAGCCAUUGGUCUGUAAGUACUCAAAUAACCUGCAAAACAUGAAAAUUUAUAAGACACUGUAAUCAAAAUGAACGAAAAAGCCUUAGGGAACAGUGUUGUUAAGCAUGGAUACAUGAUAAAUAAAUGGCUCCCAAACAUGUGACCCAUUUAAUAGAUUGAUCCACUGUGUUUGCUUACCUCCUAGCAGCAUGUACUCUACCAGUCCUCUCCUCACCAUAUGGAACAUUAUGUAGCAGCAUUGUUAUAUCAUCAACACCCUUAAGGAUAUCUAGCUGCUCGUACGAUUCAUCUCCGCGAAUAGUGACAGCAAGUCUGGUGCCUACACACACCAAAAAAAGACAAAAAAGGCAAACAAAACAAGAUAUUAAAUACUCCCAACGAGAAAAAAAAAGAACCACAAGCAACAAUAGAAUAGUUAAUGCAAAUCAUUACCUUCUGGCAAAAGUUUGUGAGCACCACUUGACAGUUCGUCAAGGUUGACAAGCGCAAUUGCAUGUGGGAGUGGCUUUGUCAACUGCUCCGAUAAAGGGGUCAACACGCCCAUGCUGAUGUCAACUAAUCUUUUAAGUGCAAGCCUCUGUAUACAUUGACAAAAUUAUAACAGAUAACUAAGAAAGGGAAUCAAACGUUAUGCACUUGUGAUGGGGAUGAAGAAAUGGUGUAACUCACAGCUUCAGUAUCUUCUACAGGGGGGAGCUCCCUCAAAAGAAUGGAAUCUACAGUAGCAAGGUCCUGAUGUUCAUAGAAGAAAUGAAUCAGUUUAAACUCAAUGCCCAUAAAAAAAAUAGUCAUGUGAUAGCUCAUAAAACCAUAUAUCAGACCUUGAAAGGCAUGCCAACCACAAGCUUCGUUGCAAGAGACCUAUAAAGGAGCUCAGGAGCCUGGCAAAUAAAAGGAAUUUUCAUCAUUACAGAGCACAUUUAUCUGAUGGCCAGACAAUAAAGAGUGAUUCUAAAACCUAUUUUCAAAAGCUAAAUGCCUGGAAAACAACAAAUAUACUGCUGAAUAUAUACUUCAAAUGGAUUACAGAUUCAAAUUUACAGAUGCUAAAAUUUCUUCGUAUAGUUAUACAUAUUGUAGGAAAUUCCAAAAAGAAGGGUAGGAAUGGUGCAGGUUACCUUCAACUGAUCCAAGGAAACUGACAUCAGUACAGAGCCAUCACGAUGCAGGACAUUUCUGUAGUCAACUUCCUCACCCUGUCAUAAGAGCAACUGAUGAGAAAUCAAGCACUAUUAGUUUUUAUGAUCAGACCAUAGAAUUAUUGUUUUAACCAACCUCCUUCUGCAAAGGCAAUUGACCACUCCUACGCUGGAAAUCAAAAUAAUGCCUGUGCUUUUCUUCAAAUGGGGCCUGUGAAUACAAGAUAAAUAGCAAAAAAAAUUAAGAAAUGUUUAAGGGAAAGCACAAGUAUUAAGGACUGAAAUUUACUGUGUUGUGACAGAAUAAGGGGAAAGUACGCAAAGUGAAAGUGCAUUACCACUCCGAUUUGAAGGUUGGCAGCCUGUGUCCCAAGAUUUGCCAACCUUUGGCAAGGAUCGAUCUCUUCUUCUGGUGGUUCCGUGAGGGAGACACGGAUUGUGUCACCCAAGCCAUCCUGUAAUACAACAAGCAGAAGAUAUAGUCCUAUUCCUUUUGUAGAACUUGCCGGUUUCCACAUAAUUAAAUCCAUUCACAGGAAACCACUAGUCUUGUACUUCUAUUAUGUGUCAGCGAAUAGCAUGGCAAAGGUCCCGAAACAUACCAUAUACAACUUAUACAAACAUGAUACCAAAAAUAUUCAUCUUCACAACUUUCAAUUGUGAGCUCCAAAAAGUGAAGAUACUCUUUAUCCAGUGAAAAGGCUACCACUUCCAUGCUCUUAUUUCAUUUCUAGAAUACUCAUAUGAAACAGAUUUAACUUCAUACGACAGAACUAAGUAGUGAAGCAAUUACCAUUAGAAGUGUUCCAAUGCCAAUAGCAGACUUCAUCCUUCCAUCUUCACCCUCUCCAGCUUCGGUAACACCCAAGUGCAAGGGAUAAUCCCAUCCUAGGUUAUACAUUUCUGCAACAAGCAGGCGAUAUGCUUGGACCAUGACAACAGGGUUACUAGCUUUCAUUGAAAAUACAAAGUUGUGAAAGUCCAACUUCCGACAUAUCCUAGCAAAUUCCAAAGCAGACUCAACCUGCGAUAGUAUGCAGAAAAUGUCAAGCAUCUACAGGCUGAUGGUUAAAUAUAACCUCAUAAAUGAGAUAAUCACCAUUCCCCGUGGAGAAUCACCAUAGUAACUCAUUAUGCGGUCAGAGAGACUUCCAUGAUUUGUUCCUAUGCGCAUUGCUCUCCCAUACUGCUUGCAUUUCUCAACUAAUGGAGAAAAUACCUGAAACGGGAUUAAAGUGGCUCUGUAAGUAAGAUAACCUAUUAUAUGUUCAUAUUGAUUAAAACAAGACUAACUGAGAGACAAAUUUUCAACCUUCUCAAUAUGCUCAAGCUCUUUUUGGUAAUCGUCAUCUGUAUAUUCCAGCUGCUCAAACUGAGCCCGACGAUCAGCUGCAAGUACAUUUCUCAGUAUUUCAGAAUGAAACGAGAACAUAAACAUACUAAAAUCAGUGUUGUCAAGAUUUCACUCACCAAAAUUUCCGGGGUUCACACGAAUUUUGUCAAAGCAUUCUGCCACUCUUAAAGCUACCGUAGGAGCAAAAUGAAUAUCGGCUACUAGUGGAAUGUUGUAACUGUAUGAACAGAAUGAAAAAUGUGAGGACUCAAGUAUGUGAACACACUGAAUGUGAGGAAAAUGACAGCUUACUUCUUCUGAACCAGGGUGUUCUUGAUCUCAAAGCAGGCAUCAGCCUCCUUCUUACCCUGGACGGUUAUUCUAACAAUAUCAGCUCCUUUAUCUGCUAUCCUCAUCACCUGAAAGGGUGUGAAUUACAUCUUCUAUUAGCAACCUAUACACAAAACAGAAAUCCUCUGAAAAAGGGGUAACUAAUUCAUUUCUCAUAUCUAUGUUCUAUAGAGAAUACUAAGUACAACCAACAUGAACUUCAGAUGGGAUGCACCUCUUCUACAGUUUUGGCAACAUCCUUGGUAUCUGAAGUCGUCAUGGUCUGAAUCCUUAUGGGAUGAUCACUACCGAGUGGGACAUUCCCCACCAUUACAGUACGAGUUUUUCUUCUCCUUGUCUGGUGUAUAGAUUCACAGUACUUUUGCCUGGGGACUAAAGAACAGAAGAAAAUCUCAGUUAGAAGAAGGAUCGCAUAGAUUAAAUCUGGGACAAAUCCCUUGACCUGAAAUAUACACAAUUACACAAAUACAAACAUGCAAGGACAAUAGAGCACGCAGAUCAUACCUAAAAGUGGGCUUCCUUCUGAUGAUGGCUCCAGCUCCAUAGUAUCUGAACCAGUACUCGAGCACUUCGCCACAAGCGCCCUGCCCCUCGAGGAGCCUGUCCUUGUAGUUCCGACGCCAGGAACAGACAAGACCUUAGCAAAGUCGACGCUCCUGGUGAAGCCGAUGCCACCAUCGCGCACCCUGACAUGUGGGAGAGGGGCUGGUGCCACGCCGGUGGCCAUGGCCGUGCCCAAGCAGCAGGAGCUCAGCUAGGCAAUUCUACAAACACCUGCAGGACAAACCAACAAGUGGUGAGGGGAGCACGGAGCACUGGCCACUGAUCCUGAUGGGCACAGGUGGAAUAUACCCCUAUCGCUGGGUGAGCAAGAACAGGACAAAUAUGGUGUGGGCUACUAAACAUGGGCAUUUAACAAUUCGUGCACUGAAUUGACAACAUGUUUUGCAUAAUAGGUCGCAUAAAAAAAUUUAGCAAACUCGAAUCAAGCGCCUUUCCUGGUGAAGGUAGCGAGAAAAACAAUAGUUCGGAGACGAAAAUGGCGUAGAUCCUUAUUGGCAAACGAGUAGGAGAAAUGCUCAGCUCAAAACCUUCCUAAUCCCAAGAGGAUUCUACUGAAUUCGAUCGAACUACAACCUGACAAACUAACUGUGAGUGGGUCCUUCAUUUCCUCCCACCCACAAAAUCCAAAUUCCCCAAACCAAAGCAAGCAAACUUCUAUAAAAUUGGCUCCUGAAGCACCCAGCACUGAUUCAACUAUCCCAAGGCCCAAGCUGCAGAGGAGAAUUCAGCCAAACCAAGCAUGAAUCCCGCCCCAGCCACACAGCAGGCAGCACACAACCAACGCGAUCGGACAUCGGAGGCAGCAAGCUAGCAAAUCUCACCAAACCUCGCCGCUUCGUGUCGCGACGACACCUCCCGCGCCCGCUCACUUUCGGCGGCCACCACCGCCACCGCGAGCGCGAGCGCGGCGAAGCAGAAAAGCGAGCGCGAGUGCGCGAGUUUUUUUUUUUCUCUCCCCAGAGCAGCCGGGCAGGAGGUAGAGGCCAGAGGGCUCGUGGCAGUGGCGCGCGAGUUCGUGGUGGGUUUCUACUGGAUAGCCCCUUUUAUCUCCAAGCCGCAGGGGGCGCCCGAGGAUCCACGUGCACCGGGUCCUGGAACACCUCUCAGGCCAUGUCCCUCUGGCUCUCCGGGCCCGACGACGCGUGCGCACGGGUGCUUGAGGACCCGGUGCGGGGAGGUGCGGCGGGCGAGGAGGGGCCGGAGGUGUGGAAGUGGAGUUCCGGCCGCUGGCGCUGCCCGCCAUGAUUUUAUCGUGUCCGUCGUUUUCCCAUGAGACACGAGUCCAGUUUAUUUUUACGAAGGAAAUUCGUAGCGGUGUUUUUUUAUGAAGAAUUCGUAGCAGCGUCUGUUAGCUCGCUGCGUGUGUUAGCCAAGAAACUUUUGUUAUCGUUGUUGCAGGCUUGAUUGAGGACGGAGUUCACGAAUGUUCUUGGGAGAUGCAGACGGGAUCUUCAAAUUUUUUUCCCCCAAUUUACACUGUUCAGUCUAUUUUACUUUCAUUAUGACUCGACAAAUUUUUGUUUUCCUUAUGUUCACUGUACAUUUUACUUGAUUUCGAGCAGCAGUAGUAUCCGGCAUGCACUUCGGACUUUACUCUGACGAGGAGAGAAAAUGCUUCGAUUGAUCCCAAAAAAACACAAAGUGCGCUCGGCGCUGUCAGUCGUCAAGCCCACAUGUUCAAGGUAAGAAGAACGUGCGCCUCUGGUCACGCAUCGACUCGCCUGUUGCUGCUCUCUUUUUUUUCCCUUGGAGGCUGGGGUCAUGUUUAGUUCACUUUAAAAUUCCAACUUUGGCACUAUGCAAAAAGAAGAUUCCCCAUCACAUCAAACUUGCGGUACAUGCAUAGAGUACUGAAUGUAGACGAAACUAAAAACUAAUUGCACAGUUUUGUUGUACUUUGCGAGACGAAUCUUUUGAGCCUAAUUAGUCAAUAUUUGGACAAUAAUUCACAAAUACAAACGAAACGCUACAGUGUUGCUACAGUAAUUUUAGCAUCUUAAAAUUGGGCAACUAAACAAGACCUUGGAUGAUUCAGCGUGCGCGAGAGCUGGAAGAACGGCCGCCCGUGCCGCGCCGCCAUGACAAGGGUGUGCGUGCGGCUGCCGGACGGAGACCGGAAGCUGGCGAGUCCACACCACAUGUGUUGACCUGAAACGGAGCUCAGCGCACGUUCUGGUGUUCCCGUCCAAGCGCCAAGCACAUGUGGGAGAAGAUUUCACAACACAUGUUUCGCGCUGGGGACUUGAAACUGGGCAAGACUGACCAGAUCCUUAAGAACUCUAACUUUGGUCCUGCCGUAUGGUACCGGUAGAAGAGUGUGAUGUUUUUGUCAAGGCCUGGCCUAUUCUUCAGGAUGUUCUUGCCUCCGACCACAAGAACACCGAAGAGAAGUGGAAGUUUUCGUCCUAGAAAAUAAAUACAGAAGUUUUCCCUGCAAGAAGGUUGCGCAACUUUGCUAGGAUGUUUGAUACGACGUGUUAAACUUUAACAGUGUCACAUCAGAUGUUCAAAUGCUAAUUAGAAGAACUAAAUAUGAGGUAAUUAUAAAACUAAUUGCAGAACCCUUUGCUAAUUCGCAGGACGAAUCUACUAAGCCUAAUUAAUCCAUCAUUAGCAAAUGGUUACUGUAGCACCACAUUGUCAAAUCAUGGACUAAUUAGGCUUAAUAGAUUCGUCUCGCGAAUUACACUCCAUAUGUGCAAUUAGUUUUGUAAUUAGCCUAUAUUUAAUAUUUCUAAUUAGCAUCCAAACAUCUGAUGUGACGGGUUUUAAAUUUACACCAAGUUGCCAAACAGCCUAAGAAGAAUAAUAAUGUAGGUGUUCUACACAACGCGCAUCACCGAACCGAGCGCACGGCGGGUGCCCGAGGCCCAGUUGUUGUGGUUUACAUGAUCGAUCGAAACAACCUUGAACAGCUAACCAGGAUGACAGAGCUUUCAUGAGUGAAGACCAGAUUGAGAUUGCUGGUACAGAGAUUGCCAAAUUUUGGUAACAAAUCAAACAAUAACCAAAAAAUUGGCUUGCUAAAACUUUAGCAUGCCAAAAAUUUAGCUACCAACCAAUCAGACCCUGAGACUCGCAUUGUCGUAGAGUAGAGCUGCUAGGUUGGCCAGGAGAAGGUAGGUCGGAGGCUGGCAGCAAGCGCAGACGAGGUUUCGCAAGCUGCACAAGUAUACGAGUAUAUGACAUCGUAAUCGUAGUACGACGCACCAUUUGCUACCGACAAGACAACCAGCAUGCAGCAAACAGUUACAUCGAAGCAUGAUGCCACGACGAUGCUAGCAUCUCCUGACCUGGCAGCCACUCAUCGACGUUGGGUACGCGAUCGGGGCCCUAUGCAUGCGGGAGCAGUUAGCUAUCACCAUAGGUGAUAAAUCCGUCACUUGUCGCCUGAAGAAUGGAGCACACAUGCACUCCUAGCAGAAAACUAGAUUGACAACAUCACCCACAUGCAUGCAAAUUUGAAAUUUAAAAAAAAAUCAUAAAUCGAGUAUCCAUAUUAAAUCCUGAUUGCACCACUGUAUUUCUUACGAAAAGAUCUUUAAAAUAAGAUCACACUCAACUAUAUUUGGAUGAUUUUUUUUAAAAAUAUUUUUUAAUAUGAAAUAUUAAAUUUAAUUACCGCAAACAAAUAAUUGAAUAACUAGAACAAAUAAUUAUAUAACACAACAAAAAAUAACAAGAUGAACAAGUGAUUAUAACUAACGAAUAAAAUACUGAACAUCAAAGAAGAUUGUAUGAUGCAAAUAAAAAAGACGUGUACGAGUAUAUUGUAAACAAGAUAUUGAAAAUUUAAUGGUGCAAGACAAAACAAUAGAAUAUGAAAAUCAAGUUAAAAAGAUUAUUUUAAGAUACGUGUGCCUUGAACAAAUUAUAAUAACUCAAGGAACAAAACAUUAUAUUUAUCGAACAACUUAUAUGAACUUACGGAACAACAAUAAAUAUACCCAGAACAACUUAAACGAACUCACAGAACGAAAUAGUAGUACCCAUCAAACAAAUUAUAUAAACUCAUAGAAAAAAGAUCUGUAUACCUUGAACAAAUUGCAGGAACUCAUAGAAUAAGUAUUUAUACGCCUCGAACAAAUUAUGUGAACUUAAUAAAUAAAAAAUUGUACACUUGAAAAAAUACAUUAUUAACAUAUAACAUUAUUUAAUCUACAGGUCUACAUGGUUGAAUAGUUUAGUCUUUAAAGUUAACAAAUAAUUUGACGCACAAACAAAUAAUUUGAAUUAAAAUAUAAAAAUAAAUUAGUAAUUAGUUAAGUAAUAAAAAGGAAAACAAAACAAAAGAGAAAAAAAGAAAGAAAAGGGAAUGAGAAAAUAAAAUAAGAUCUUAAAGAGAUGAAGAUAAAAACAAGAUAAAAUAAAAGAAAUGAAAAAGUGAAAUAAAAUAUAAGAAAAGCAUAAUAAAUAAAUAAAAGGGAAAAAUGAUAAAUAGCGUACCGAGAAGGAAUAUCUACAAGAAGGUUAGAAAUAAAAUAGAAGAAAAAAUAGGAAUGAAGAAUAUAGAAAAUGAAAAGAGGAGAGAAAUGGAAAAAAGCAAAAGGGACAAAGGUGUAACGUACGUCCCUGUGGCUUAGAAGAAAAGUUAAAUAGAGAGAAAAUGAAGGAAAUAAAUGAAAAAUAAAAAUAGACUAAAAAGAUUAGAAAAAAAAUAAUCUAGUAACGGAAGGUAAAAAACGAACGGAAUAAAAUUACGUACGGAUAGAAAAAAAUGAAAAGAGUGAAAAACAAAAACGAAAAAAAUGAAGAUUUUACGUAAAAAAAGGAACCGGUCGGCUCGGGUCAUCAGCUAACGCAGCGCAGGCCAGCAGCAGCUGGAAUUGGCCGGCACCAGCAUUUCGGAACGUGAAUGCGAUAUGGGCUGGCAACAGCUUUGAAUGCGAUAUGGGCCGAAUUCACGCCACCAGCCCACGCGGAAUCCUUCAGGCGCGACAGAUAGAUUGCUGUCGCGUAUGCAACGUAUAGUCGCUGAGACUACCAUUGAAUCAAGUUCAUGUUUUCUGUGCAAAAUUUUAGGAUAAAACAGCUAAUAUCAAAUGGACUUGCAUGAGCUGAGGGCACCCCCAGCACCCCAGCUUCGCCCCUGGCCUCAUGCACGAGCUGCGUCGGGUGAAUUACGUCUCAACCGCUCACGAUCUGAUCACGUACUGACCGGGCCCGUCGCGUUCGCUGUGGCGUGCUAGCUCGGGAUGCACCCGAUCAGGAUCGAAAUUGCCCGGGAUGACAAGCCGGUCCAGCAAGUUGAUCGGGAUCGGGAUCGGUGGUGCCUUCGCGGAUGAGAUAGCCGUGAUGCCAUCCACCGUCGUCGCCGCCGCCGUCGCCACUGCAAGGCAGGAGGAGGAGGAGCACGCGACGAGGAGGAACGCCACGAGCCUACCAGCACGCGGCGUCCCAGGAGACAGGCAUAUGACCACCUACUUCGUCGAUCGGUCACAGGAGGCUAACACAAGCAAGGUGAUUUAAGUACCCGACGCUAGCGCAAGCUAUAUGUUCAAUUUGCUCAUGAGAUUUAGCGAGAAGCCGAGAAGUUAUUGUCAUUGUACAUUCGAGCGUGCAAGGUAACCGAAGAGGAAAGAGUAUCCGGCCAUCUGGCUUAGAUGCCGGACCUGUCGUUUCGAAGAGUGUCCGCCCAUCUGGCAAGAUGCCGGCUUGUGUGGUCUGGUAAGUUUUGCAGUUUUGCGAGCACGCGACUCCAAAUCUCCAAUACGCUCCAUUGCCGAUUCCGCGCUUGCAGGUGUAGGUAGAGUUGCUUCUGGGUUGUUGUCAUGCUGGCCAGGCCGGCGGUUAGUUGUCCGGUCAGGCCCAUGGAAACAGAAUCGUAUGAACCAUAUCCGGAGGAAACGAGAUGCAGUGGUAUAAUAACCAGUAAAAAGAAAAUGCGAGAAAUUGCAAACUGCAUAUUUAAGACUCAGAAGUACUAUUAAGCUCGCGAGCUAAUAAAAUACAUACUCCUUGAAAUAUGUGUCGUUGUUGAUUUUUCUUGACCAUUUGUGUUAUUCAAAAAUCUAUUGCAAAAUAUACGAAAAAAUAAAUCAUGCUUAAAAUGCCUAUGAUGGUGCUUACAUAAUUGUUUUUUGCCAAACAUCAUGACCAAAAGUCAAUAACAACAAAUAUUUUCAUACGAAGGUAGUAUACGAAGAAAUAAAGAUGGAACUCACAACAGUAGAAGUAUAGAACGUAAAAUUCACGAGCCAUCUAACUAAACUCUAAAUCUCUAAUGAAGGACGCCCGUUGAUCUUCAGGUACGCGGGAACUCUACCGGCGCCGGGGACGCGAAGCCCUUGUGGUAGAGCAAGUCGGUCAUGACCCUGUACGCGCGCUGUGUCAGGUGCACGCCGUCCCAGCUGAUGCGCUCGUCCGGCCUAGCGCACACCGUGGCGCCCGGCGCACCGCACAUCCGCUCCAUGUCGAAGUUGUACGCGCCGCCACCGGCGCCGCAGCACGCCUUGGUCACCGCACCCUCGUCGAACCCCGUCUUGCCGGCGUCCCUCAGCAUCUGCACGUACGCGUAGAAGUAGUCGCCGUAGGCGAUAGUGGCGCUCGGAUACGACCGGCGCAGCUCGCGGAUUUCCUGCUGCAGCAGCACGUUGUGCAUCUGGGCGAACAGGUUGAGCGACAUGAGGCAGCCGUUGGCGUCGUAGGCCGCCGGGUCCGUCUCGUUCGCGGCGGAC